AAAGAUACCCCGGUAGUCCACGCCGUAAACGAUGAAUGCCAGCCGUUGGGGGAGCUUGCUCUUCAGUGGCGCAGCUAACGCUUUAAGCAUUCCGCCUGGGGAGUACGGUCGCAAGAUUAAAACUCAAAGGAAUUGACGGGGGGCCCGCACAAGCGGUGGAGCAUGUGGUUUAAUUCGAAGCAACGCGCAGAACCUUACCAGCUUUUUGACACGUCCGGUUUGAUCGGCAGAGAUGCCUUUCUUCAGUUCGGCUGGCCGGAACACAGGUGCUGCAUGGCUGUCGUCAGCUCGUGCCGUGAGAUGUUGGGUUAAGUCCCGCAACGAGCGCAACCCUCGCCCCUAGUUGCCAUCAUUCAGUUGGGAACUCUAGGGGGACUGCCGGUGAUAAGCCGCGAGGAAGGUGGGGAUGACGUCAAGUCCUCAUGGCCCUUACAGGCUGGGCUACACACGUGCUACAAUGGGCGGUGACAAUGGGCAGCGAAAGGGCGACCUCGAGCUAAGUACCCAAAAAGCCGUCUCAGUUCAGAUUGC
rnacentral:rRNA from 1 species